GAUGAACGCUGGCGGCGUGCCUAAUACAUGCAAGUCGAGCGAACAGACGAGGAGCUUGCUCCUCUGACGUUAGCGGCGGACGGGUGAGUAACACGUGGAUAACCUACCUAUAAGACUGGGAUAACUUCGGGAAACCGGAGCUAAUACCGGAUAAUAUAUUGAACCGCAUGGUUCAAUAGUGAAAGACGGUUUUGCUGUCACUUAUAGAUGGAUCCGCGCCGCAUUAGCUAGUUGGUAAGGUAACGGCUUACCAAGGCGACGAUGCGUAGCCGACCUGAGAGGGUGAUCGGCCACACUGGAACUGAGACACGGUCCAGACCCCUACGGGAGGCAGCAGUAGGGAAUCUUCCGCAAAGGGCGAAAGCCUGACGGAGCAACGCCGCGUGAGUGAUGAAGGUCUUCGGAUCGUAAAACUCUGUUAUUAGGGAAGAACAAAUGUGUAAGUAACUAUGCACGUCUUGAUGGUACCUAAUCAGAAAGCCACGGCUAACUACGUG
rnacentral:rRNA from 1 species